rnacentral:rRNA from 1 species
GAUGAACGCUGGCGGCGUGCCUAAUACAUGCAAGUCGAGCGAACGGACGAGAAGCUUGCUUCUCUGAUGUUAGCGGCGGACGGGUGAGUAACACGUGGAUAACCUACCUAUAAGACUGGGAUAACUUCGGGAAACCGGAGCUAAUACCGGAUAAUAUUUUGAACCGCAUGGUUCAAAAGUGAAAGACGGUCUUGCUGUCACUUAUAGAUGGAUCCGCGCUGCAUUAGCUAGUUGGUAAGGUAACGGCUUACCAAGGCAACGAUGCAUAGCCGACCUGAGAGGGUGAUCGGCCACACUGGAACUGAGACACGGUCCAGACUCCUACGGGAGGCAGCAGUAGGGAAUCUUCCGCAAUGGGCGAAAGCCUGACGGAGCAACGCCGCGUGAGUGAUGAAGGUCUUCGGAUCGUAAAACUCUGUUAUUAGGGAAGAACAUAUGUGUAAGUAACUGUGCACAUCUUGACGGUACCUAAUCAGAAAGCCACGGCUAAAUACGUG